GCUUAGUUGCGUUAAGAAUUUUAGUUAUAGUAUGGUAAUAUCAGUGAUAUUUAUCAGAAUAAGGUUGUUUAUGGAAGCGCUAUGUGAGUUUUGUGAGAUUGUUAGAGCUGUGGUUUACUGCAAGCCAGAUUCUGCUCGAUUAUGUAUGCGUUGCGAUGCGAUUGUACACUCCGCGAAUGCGCUUGCUCGCAGACAUCCGAGAUCGUUAUUGUGUGAUAGGUGUAAUUUCGAUUCAGCGAUUGUUCGCUGUGUUGAUUAUAAAAUGUCUCUGUGUCAACUUUGUGAUUGGAAUUCUACAGAUGAGUGUUUUGCGUUGGGGCAUAACCAUGUGCUACUUACUUUCUACACUGGUUGUCCCUCUUUGGCAGAGUUGUCAAAGAUUUGGCCGCAUUUUGUCUAUGGAAAUUCAUCGGCUGAGAGCAAUGUUGCUAGCUCUAAGCCUUUGGAUUGGCCGCCUGAAAAGAACCACGGUUGCUUUCAUUUGGAGAAAGCGAAAAACAAGAUGGACGGAGAAGAGCCGUCUGUCAAAGAUGAACAACCUUGGAUUGAGACACCACCUAUAGUGUCGUCAAAUUCGAACGGCACAAAAUACUGCAGAGAUCAAGCGUUUUUGUUUGAUCUAGACUCAAAUCAACAGAAGCUUCAAGGAUGCCCUGAUGUCAAGGAACUAGUUUUUCAUGAGGGGACUAGUCUCUGUGAAGGUUUCAAUGUGGAUGAUGUUCAAUUAGAUUUUGAAAGCGCUGAUGAAAUAUUUGGCCGCUCUCAAAGUGCCGCAAAAUACAACCAUGAAGAUGGAGGAAUGAAGUGUCUAUUAAUGGAUAAAAACAUUCAAGUCACAAAAUGUACCAGUCUUACCGAGAUUGCAGCAGAGGCUUUAUCACCACUGCAACAAGAUUGUGUGGCUGGCGGAUCAACAAGUGUGAUGCAGGGCAUCAACAAUAAUGCAAACUCUGCACUUAUGACUCCUAGCAGCAACAGUAGCAUUACUAUGGGAUUUCCUCAGAGUCAAAUUCAUUCAGGAACUUCAAUUGAAUUACCUAAUCUUAAUGGUGAAAACAAUGUUACUGAACUUCUAAAUUGUGAGUUACCUCCGGUGUUUCAUCCCGGCGAAUCCCCUUGGGAACCAAAUUUGGAGGGUACGUGUGCAGAAGCAAGGGAACAAGCAAAAAUGAGAUACCAAGAGAAAAAGAAAACUCGAACGUUUGGUAAGCAAAUAAGAUAUGCCUCUCGCAAAGCAAGGGCUGAUACAAGAAAACGUGUGAAAGGUCGAUUCGUUAAAGCAGACCGGAGGGAGUAACAUGCAUGGGAGAUAGAGGAGCAGGAUGAAUGAACAGAUUGAUAUUGCAUCACAGUUAGUAUCAUUUCCGACAAUAAAAUGAAAGAAGAGACAGGAGUCAACGGCGAACCAUCCUGAACUUUAACAGGUUAGAAUGUGUGACUCUCUGAGUUUUUGUUUUUCUAAUAAACACAGGGUAUUAAGGAAGAAAAGGGGAACUGAUGUUUGGCAUCAAGAUAUUAUCCAAGAACAGCAAUCCUUACUUUGGAUUAGCGAGCAGUGUCAGACGCGGAUGGAGAUACUGUUGUUCUAAACCAGUUUACACCUGCAGCAACUGUAUGCAUGUUCCACAACCUUUAAACUUCCUCAAUCAUUUCAUCUAUUGGACUGCAUCAUUUUAGGCUUAGGAGUGUUAACUGCAUAUUUUUGAUCGGCCAAACAUUGAUUUAUUUAAAUUUUGGGUACCCAAUUGUAAUGGUUUUCAUAUUUAGAAUAUUUGCUAUUUAUUUUGGAAUAUUUGCUUAUUUUA